GGGUGGUUGAUGAUCAAAUUGCAGGGUACACAAUGACAUAUGCAAAUUCUGGGUAUCAUCUAACUUAUGCAACUGUUAAAGGUGGAAGCCAUUCUCCUACUGAGGGCAACGGUAGAGAAUGCUAUGAAAUGUUUCUGAGAUGGAUCCAGUCUUAUCCUUUGUAGGCUGGAAACUCUCCAAGCUCAAAAUUUCUGAACUAAAAUAAAUAUUAUAUUGUUCAAAUGGAACGUGUACUCAAAAUAUUUUGCAGUAUUUAAAAUUGUUUAAAUUGUUGUUUUCAAUAUUUCAGUUAAACAUAAGUCUGUA